rnacentral:lncRNA from 10 species
AGGAUGUUGGCUUUAUGGAUGCAAGGCUCCUGCAAGACCCUGGACUUGGCCAUGGCGAGAUUAGCAGAUGUGAUACAACAGAGAUGUGAAACGGCUCUGCUCAUUUGGGGCUAAUUUGCUGGUCUACCUUUGGCUAAGCCAUUUGGAAAUCCUGGGCAAGACUGAUUGAAAAUAAAAGAUAAGAGAAACAACUGAGUUGCCCCAAGCCUCCCAGCCAAGACUAUGGUUGCUGAAUGAUUGAAAGCUGAUUCCCAGAUGGAUUUUUGCAUGAAGAGGGGCAGGAGGCUGAGAGGCAUAGCCAGUGACAAUUUAGACUUGUUCCUGAUGAUUUUGGAGAGCUCGGGGAGCAGCAUUUCUGCCUUAUUCAACAGGCAGUUUUCUCAGGUAAUGAAAUCUCCUCCCCUUAUUGAAAUCUCAAGGGCUGUUAAUCUGAUUUCAAAAUAACACAAAUGUCCAGGUUCACAUAAUAUUCAACUCUGGGAGUCUAUUCAUUUUUAUGCUAAAGUGGUCAUAAAAUAUAAUUUGCAGUAUUUGUUUUUAAUAGAGGAAGAUUCCCCACAGAAGCAAAAGUACCUCCAUCCAUAUAAGUUGUAACAUAUCUGGUGUCUACCCUUAAUCUCUACGCUUCUACCCUUCUUUAAGUAUUCUUCACCAUGACAAUCAUUUCUUUUUUCUUCAUUUGGUUAAUUUUCUUAUGCAUUGUAAUUCUCUUAUUAGAGUAAAUUGGGAGAAAAGUGCUGUAUAUUUCUACCGUUUAUACUUUGAGUAGAAUAAGGGCUGACAUCAUACCGUGAGUCUUUAAAAUAUACUUGAGUGAAUUGUGUUGGAAUGUCUGUGUUGUUCACUAAUCAAGAUUUAGCCGCACAUGUAUAUACGAGGAGAACACUAGCUACCAUGUGAAUUUUAAACGGAUAAUGAGCUCAUAUAAAUUAUGCAAUUUUAUUUUAGUGCACAAAAUUAUCCUUUAUUUUGAUUUGAUUUAAGAUAAAUAUAGCAAAAUUCUAUGAAGAUGGGGAGACAUUUCCCAAUUAUUUUAGUUAGAAAUAUUAUCAUAGCAUGAUGUUGAUUACUAAGUAAAGCAUGAGUAAAUUCCAUUUUACCUGUCUUAAGUAUAGCUAUGAUGAAUUAGUAAGUGUUGACACCACUUCUGAUAAGUCUAUUAUAAUGUCUGCAAUGGAAACAUAGUAUUUCCCAACAUCAUAUGACUAACUCUAGUCAUAAUCAAAUCAAAACUCUACUCGCAAUCGCUCAAAUUAUUUGAUCAAUAUAUCAAAAUAUCCCACUGAUAUAACAGUCUUUAUUCAUGAUUGCAAAACAGUCUCACUAUUAAUUAAAGAGAAGCAAUUGACAUAAUUGAUUUAUAUUUAAAAAUCAGAAUGAUUUAUAGCUUGCUCUGAAAUUUAUAUUUGGAGCAGAAAUACAUUUAACUCCAAUUUUAAUUUGUGCAUUCAAAGUAGUAGAAAUAAUACUUUUUUUGAAAUACAUGAGACUAACAUGAUUCUAGCUCCCAGCGAAAUCCUAAAUACUACUUAUAUUUGUGAAGUCGAUACAGAAUUUUAAUAAUUUUGAUUUUUCUCUAGCAAUAAUAAAUAUAUCUGGUUGUGAUAUUUUAAUAUGUGAUUUAGAGACUUUACAAAUUAAAUACCUAUUGUGUUCAGUAUAAAUACACUUACAACAUGCUUCAUAGAAAUGCAUUGUAUGCCAAUGCUUUAUAAAUCCCCUUUGCAUGGUAAUAGGUUUAUGACUGGAGCACCUUCUGUCAUUUCACUCCAAGCACCUUUAAAUAGAACAGCAAAUCAGUGAGUUUAAUGUUGUGCACCAAAAAUAAAGUUCUAAGCUCCCCAACUAAUUGAAUGGUCCCUGCUCUUGGCCAAGGGCAUUCCGAAUAAACCUAAAAAAUAUAGUUCAGACCAUGAUGGGAAUGGGUGGUUGGACAUACCUCAUUACACACUUCUCCUUUUGGAAUUCAGGCACAGCUGGCCAGCAUUCACAUUAAAACAGAGACCUUAAGACUGAUUAAACAGACUCUUUGUAACUUGUAAUGUGACUCUGGUCUCUAUCCCCAAUUUCUAAGCUUCUACUAUGCUCCACCAUGUGUGAUGGUUAAUAUUGAGUGUCAACUUGAUUAGAUUGAAGGAUGCAAAGUAUUAUUCCUGGGUGUGUCUGUGAAGGUGUUGUCAAAGGAGAUGAACAUUUGAGUCAGUGGCCUGGGAAAGGCAGACCCACCCUCAAUCUGGUGGGCACCAUCUCAUCAGGUGCCAGUGUGGCUAGAAUAAAAGCAGGCAGAAGAACGUGGAAGGACUAGGCUGGCUGAGUCUUUUGGCCUCCAUCUUUCCCCUGUGCUGGAUGCUUCCUGACCUUGAACAUUGGACUCCAAUUUCUUCAGCUUUUGGACUCUUGGACCUACACCAGUGCUUUAGCAGGGUCAUCGACCACAGACUGAAGGCUGUACUGUUGGCUUCUGUACUUUUGAGUUUUUGGGACUCGGACUGGCUUCCUUGCUCCUCAGCUUGCAGAUGACCUAUUGUGGGACUUCACCUUGUGAUCGUGUGAGUCAAUACUUCUUAAUAAGCUCUCUUUCGUGUAUAUAUCUAUCGUAUUAGUCCUGUCCCUUUAGAAAACCCUGACUAAUAC